CGCCUCCUUCCCCGUCUGCUUCGCCGCCGCCAUCAUGCGCCUCAAGCUCGUGAUCCAGGAGCAAGACUCCAUCCCCGGAACCACCAACUGGAUCCUCUCUUUAUUCGCCGACACGAUCUUCACUCCUUUCAACUGCACCGUCUCCAACCUCCCGAAACGCGCCGCCGCGAAAUGCGUCGUGUACGAUCUUCACUCCUUUCAACUGCACCGUCUCCAACCUCCCCAAACGCGCCGCCGCGAAGUGCAUCGUGUACGGGAACCCGAUAAGACAAGCUUUAAGACGGUACGUGUCGAAAGGAGCCGCGCGUGUGAGCUUCUUCGGACAGUGGGCGGGAGCUGUGUCGGACGCGAGAGUGG
rnacentral:lncRNA from 1 species